UUCAUCUCUACUGAUCCAAAUUAGUCUUUCUGCCUCUCUCUCAUCUCCAAAUCCAUCUUCAAAUUCAUUUAAGCUUCAACCGGAGAGACGACUUCCUUUAGGUUUCGGCCAAAGUUGUAACAUGAUUUAUGGUUAGGACAUUGACGGGGGGUGACACCGCCAUAUCAGGUGCUUUUGGGUUUCAAAUCGGUGGAUUCAUGACGGUUCUCCGGCGAAUAAAAUAAAUCGACCUACCGCAACCUUAGGUAAGUAUGAUGACUCUCAGUUGUGUUUUUUUUCUGCUUGCAUUUGAUUGUGUUCCUGGCCGUUUCUGUCAAUUAAUGUUCAAUUCCGGUGAUGGUGUUGUUAUGGUGGGGACGCGGUGAUAGUGUGGUGGUGAUUGUGGGCCUGUGGCAGUCAAGAGGGAAAGAGAUUUUUUGAAAACAGAGGAAAAAGAACUGAAGAAUUUAGGUUUUAUGAAGAGGGGAGGAUACAAGGUGGGCGUGACGGCUGAUGAAACUAGGUUAUUGUUGCUAUUGUUUUGGGCUUUCAUUGGGCUCAUUAGGAUAAAAAAUGCUCGAGGAUAAUUAUGUUGUGUUUAAUUAAUUGAGUUAAUUUAUAAUUGUAUAAAAAGUCGACCGAAAAAUAAUACAUUUGAUGUUUUAUUAUAUAAAUAAAAACCAGCAACACUCUUCAGUUAUCAAAAUUCAAAAGAACGCUUAAGCAAUUUAAACAAAUUAGUUGAACAAUAAUUUUUAUUCAAAUAAAUACCUUGAAAUUAUUUUUGUUAUUUGACUGAUGAUAUGCCCUCAUAUUCUUUUUGUUAUUUGACUGAUGAUACGGAUUUGUUUUACGGCCUGUUUGGUUUAAAAAGUUUAAAAAGUGAGAUGAAACUAGAUGUUCAUGGAGAUAGCCGGUGGCUACACCAGUGCUGUGUUGGUGGUAGCGUGAUUUGAAAAUGUGAGAUGAUCGUGUUAUAAGUAUUGAUGUACAAGCAAUCGUAAUCCAAUGAAAAACGUGCACGUUAUUAAACUAAGAUUUGAUACAAAUUAUUGCGCCGCAACGCGCGCGAGGUAUAAAAACUAGUUUAUAAUAAAAUCAAAGAUGAUAAAUCUGAUCGAACAUCAUUUACAUGAUAUCAUUUCUUCGAUCAAUCAUUAACAUCUAAACAGAUCGAAUCAACAACUUCUGAAACACCGAUCACGAUUUGAUAUUAAGCAAAAAAAAAAAAAAAAAAAAAAACUCUUGAGCAAUAUCAACCCUAUUGAUGUUUCUUCUCAAGAAAGCCAAACCAAAACAGGGCUUAAAAUAAGAAGGCACAAUCUCAUCAAUCUUCAACACAUAAACUGAUCAAAAGAACUAACGACGCAACUUCUAAUAUGUUCUCUUCAUGUCGCGAUCUCCUCAACUUCAGAAUUGAACACGAAACUCGGGAAAGUUGUUGUUAUGUCCCUGCAUUUCACAUCAGUUCGAUUAAUACAUACACACGUAUGAUACACUUGUAGCUAUUGCUCUGAACGUCAUAUGCACAAUGGUAUUUAUGUAUAUGUAUAAAGGGGCAUUCAUUUCUGGACUACCAGUUGUUAUUUUUGAAGUUGGACCUGUUGACGGCCAACAGCGAAUAGUUAGGAUUAUUUAAAUCCAAUAUUCCUUUAGUGUUUUGAAAGGGUAAAUGUAUUAUAAAAUUUUUAAAAUGAUAUAAAUGACGUUUGUCUACCCUUACAAAGUAGAAUAAAAAAAAUUUAGUUACGUCUGCUUUUUUGCGAAAAUCCAACAUUCACCGAAUAUUUGUCUUUGAUGAAUAAUAACAUCACUCUCUUAUAACAGACAUUUUGCUUUACAUCAGCUAAACACAUAACAUUUGUGAUAGUAAAUCUGUACGUGAGCCAAAUUAAGAAAAAAAUCGCUUAUCUUCUUUUUUUCUUUUGUAUAAUUAAUAUUCGUGGCGUGCUUAGAGUGUUAAUGUCACAAUAAAAGAAAUGUAAAAUCACCUUAUCGAGUAUUGUCUCAAUGGUUUCAUCAGCGAGCUUCAACUCAGACUCACAUAAAAGCGCAAUCAACAUUUGCUUAACCUGCAAAAAGCAUCCAUAAAAAUGAUAUUGCGUGGAUUCUUAUUUAUAUUUUCAUUGAAAAGUAACAAAAUUAUUUAAGAUAUAAAUAGUAGAGAAUUACCUCGUGACGCUCUAUGAAUCCUGUCCCGUCCAUAUCAUAA
rnacentral:lncRNA from 1 species